UGCGCCUUCUCGAGCACGGCCGCCCCACUUCGCUCCCCCGCAGUUGUCCGCCGUGGGUUCGGCCUUCGCACGCAUCUCUUGGAUUGAAGCGGAAUCAAAGGGGGAUGGCAGAGGUCUCGCCGGACGCGUGGCGUAGCUCGAGCUCGAGUACGAGACGGUGUUGGCGGAGCUCGAGCACGAAGAAAGCACGCGUCCAGUCGCUGCACGGGCUCUCCGCCGUGGCUCCGCCUGGAAAAUGAUGGUGAGCUCUCGCGAAGGAUCGAGUAACCAAAGUCCGAGAUCAACGACCAGAGCAGACGCUGGCUCGGUG
rnacentral:lncRNA from 1 species